rnacentral:rRNA from 1 species
UACGUAGGGGGCAAGCGUUGUCCGGAUUUAUUGGGCGUAAAGAGCGUGUAGGCGGUUUGGUAGGUCCGCUGUGAAAACUCGAGGCUCAACCUCGAGACGCCGGUGGAAACCAUCAGACUAGAGUCCGGAAGAGGAGAGCGGAAUUCCUGGUGUAGCGGUGAAAUGCGCAGAUAUCAGGAAGAACACCCGUGGCUAAGGCGGCUCUCUAGUACGGUACUGACGCUGAGACGCGAAAGCGUGGGGAGCGAACAGG